UGGUUCUGGCAUCGAUGAAGAACGCAGCGAAAUGCGAUAAGUAAUGUGAAUUGCAGAAUUCAGUGAAUCAUCGAAUCUUUGAACGCACAUUGCGCCCUCUGGUAUUCCGGGGGGCAUGCCUGUUCGAGCGUCAUUACAACCCUCAAGCUCUGCUUGGUAUUAGGCAUCACCUACUAGGCGAGCCGUAAAGUUAGUGGCGGUGCUAUCAGGCUUCGAGCGCAGUAAUUUUUCUCGCUUUGGAGUACCUGCUAAUGCCUGCCAGCAACCCAAUUUUCAAAGGUUGACCUCGGAUCAGGUAGGGAUACCCGCUGA
rnacentral:misc_RNA from 1 species